rnacentral:rRNA from 1 species
GUUGUUGGGUAGGGGAGCGUUCUGUAAGCCUGUGAAGGUGUGCUGUGAGGCAUGCUGGAGGUAUCAGAAGUGCGAAUGCUGACAUAAGUAACGAUAAAGCGGGUGAAAAGCCCGCUCGCCGGAAGACCAAGGGUUCCUGUCCAACGUUAAUCGGGGCAGGGUGAGUCGACCCCUAAGGCGAGGCCGAAAGGCGUAGUCGAUGGGAAACAGGUUAAUAUUCCUGUACUUGGUGUUACUGCGAAGGGGGGACGGAGAAGGCUAUGUUGGCCGGGCGACGGUUGUCCCGGUUUAAGCGUGUAGGCUGGUUUUCCAGGCAAAUCCGGAAAAUCAAGGCUGAGGCGUGAUGACGAGGCACUACGGUGCUGAAGCAACAAAUGCCCUGCUUCCAGGAAAAGCCUCUAAGCAUCAGGUAACAUCAAAUCGUACCCCAAACCGACACAGGUGGUCAGGUAGAGAAUACCAAGGCGCUUGAGAGAACUCGGGUGAAGGAACUAGGCAAAAUGGUGCCGUAACUUCGGGAGAAGGCACGCUGAUAUGUAGGUGAAGUCCCUCGCGGAUGGAGCUGAAAUCAGUCGAAGAUACCAGCUGGCUGCAACUGUUUAUUAAAAACACAGCACUGUGCAAACACGAAAGUGGACGUAUACGGUGUGACGCCUGCCCGGUGCCGGAAGGUUAAUUGAUGGGGUUAGC